ensembl:lncRNA
UGACAGUGGCGGGGUCUUUCAGUUGCGGGUUUGACAGUGCCCUCUAGGCAGUCUCGGUGUCACUGCCGCUCUCUUCGAUAUCGCUCUCCAGUCAGUUUAGAAGGAUCUGCACGUCGGGCAACUCCACUUAUCGCAGAGCCAACCGGAAUCUCUUCUGACGAGCAAGGUGGGCUCCCUCUGCUACACGGGGGCGAUGGCUGUACACGAGUGAGUGUAUUCUAGGAAUGACUGGGAAGUGCCAAUCGCCAAGUCAGGCCAUGCUUUUACAGUGGAACACUAUUAAAGGUCAGCCGGGACGAUUUCUGUCUCGAUAAACACCAACUUCUGGUGCUACGUUGUGUCAUGAGUUAGCUUAGCCCGGUAGUGACACUGUGGUUCCGAGGUGGAAGACCCCCGAACUGCGCCGUGUUGGGAACACGAGGGUGCACACGGCCCCCAGAACCAUCAGCCCUCGAGGCGACGCAACCGAAACUGAAGUCGCAGUCUGUCAGUCUGUUAAUCCCCAAAGAACGAUCGUGAUAGCCAGACCCUGCUGCUGCCACUGCUGCUGUGUGUGUGUGUGUGUGUGUGUGUGUGUGUGUGUGUGUGUGUGUGUGUGUGUGUGUGUGUGUGUGUGUGUGUGUGUGUGUGUGUCUGUGUCUGUGUCUGUGUCUGUGUGGUGGUGCAGGGGC